UACGUAGGGUGCGAGCGUUGUCCGGAAUUAUUGGGCGUAAAGAGCUCGUAGGCGGUGUGUCGCGUCGGCCGUGAAAGCCCGGAGCUCAACUCCGGGUCUGCAGUCGAUACGGGCAGACUUGAGUGUUGCAGGGGAGACUGGAAUUCCUGGUGUAGCGGUGAAAUGCGCAGAUAUCAGGAGGAACACCGGUGGCGAAGGCGAGUCCCUGGACGACUCCUGACACUGAGGCACGAAAGCUAGGGGAGCAAACAGG
rnacentral:rRNA from 1 species